CGACUUGGAGGUUGUGCCCUUGAGGCGUGGCUUCCGGAGCUAACGCGUUAAGUCGACCGCCUGGGGGAGUACGGCCGCAAGGUUAAAACUCAAAUGAAUUGACGGGGGCCCGCACAAGCGGUGGAGCAUGUGGUUUAAUUCGAUGCAACGCGAAGAACCUUACCUGGUCUUGACAUCCACGGAAGUUUUCAGGGAUGAGAAUGUGCCUUCGGGAACCGUGAGACAGGUGCUGCAUGGCUGUCGUCAGCUCGUGUUGUGAAAUGUUGGGUUAAGUCCCGCAACGAGCGCAACCCUUAUCCUUUGUUGCCAGCGGUCCGGCCGGGAACUCAAAGGAGACUGCCAGUGAUAAACUAGAGGAAGGUGGGGAUGACGUCAAGUCAUCAUGGCCCUUACGACCAGGGCUACACACGUGCUACAAUGGCGCAUACAAAGAGAAGCGACCUCGCGAGAGCAAGCGGACCUCAUAAAGUGCGUCGUAGUCCGGAUUGGAGUCUGCAACUCGACUCCAUGAAGUCGGAAUCGCUAGUAAUCGUGGAUCAGAAUGCCACGGUGAAUACGUUCCCGGGCCUUGUACACAC
rnacentral:rRNA from 1 species